GCCUGUGUGGUGUAAUGGUUUGGAUGCUGGACUAGGACUGGGAGACCAGGGUUCGAAUCCUGGCUCAGCCA